rnacentral:rRNA from 1 species
CACGUAGGGGACGAGCGUUGUCCGGAUUCAUUGGGCGUAAAGCGCGCGUAGGCGGCUCGGAAAGUCGGUCGUGAAAUGCCGGGGCUCAACCCCGGGACUGCGUCCGAUACUCCCGAGCUGGAGGCAGGUAGGGGAGAUCGGAAUUCCUGGUGUAGCGGUGAAAUGCGCAGAUAUCAGGAGGAACACCGGUGGCGAAGGCGGUUACCUGGAGCUUUGCUGACGCUGAUGCGCGAAAGCGUGGGGAGCGAUCCGG